UGGUGGGUUGCCUUGUCAGGUUGAUUCCGGUAACGAACGAGACCUCAGCCUGCUAAAUAGUCACGUGUACCUUGGUACACGCUUGACUUCUUAGAGGGACUAUUGGCGUUUAGCCAAUGGAAGUGUGAGGCAAUAACA
rnacentral:rRNA from 1 species